GGGGGCGAUUUGGGUUCGACGGGGAUCGUUCGUGUGUAAGCUGCGUGUCGAGGUCGUCACGAGCUCGUAAAACUUGUGGCACAAAAUGUAAGUGCAGACGAACCAGUCGCACUGGCUGCUUAAUUCGUUAAGCGGCUCGUCCCCGCCGGUCGGGUCUCCGGGGCCGGCGAGUGGGCGUCAUAUACCGGGGACUAGCGAGGGGAGAGUGUCUUGGCUUCCCGAGCGAAACUUUAAGGGCUGGUCCCCCAAGUGUCCGUGUCUUUGGUGGGCACGGGGGACGAGACAUAAACCAUAGACUACACACGUAGACGCUUGCAUGUGGAUAUCUUCGGACGCGGGUUCGAUUCCCGCCGCCUCCACCA
rnacentral:tmRNA from 1 species